rnacentral:tRNA from 1 species
AACAGAAUGCCUGAAUAAAGGGUUAUUUUGAUAGAAUAAAUUAUGUAAUGUUUUUACUUCUGUUA